rnacentral:rRNA from 1 species
UACAUGGGGUGCAAACGUUGCUCGGAAUUAUUGGGCGUAAAGCGCACGUAGGCGGUUCGUUAAGUCGGACGUGAAAGCCCUCGGCUCAACCGAGGAAGUGCAUCCGAAACUGGCGAGCUAGAGUACGAAAGAGGGUCGCGGAAUUCCCGGUGUAGAGGUGAAAUUCGUAGAUAUCGGGAGGAACACCAGUGGCGAAGGCGGCGAUCUGGGUCGAUACUGACGCUGAGGUGCGAAAGCGUGGGGAGCAAACAGGG